UGUCUGAGACAUUGUCCCGGAGAACCCUUCUAGAAUUCUGCUGGGGGUGGGGUGAUAAAGUGGGGGAGGGGGAGGGGCUUCUGGGGGAGGCUAGAGGGACUUGUGGGGAGCGUAUGUUCCCAGCCCCAAGGCAGAGCUCCCAUGGGCUGCUCAACCCAACAGAGGAGCUCCCACCGGCUGCCAUCCUUAGCGUGCAAGGAACUGGCAUCAGCCCUUGUGGAAAGUUCCUUAAAGGCACUACCUGGGAGAGUUCAGCAGCGAAGAAUGUGGGCUUUGGAAUCGGGUCAAUCGGAAUACGAAUUCUGCCUCUUCCAGUUACUAGAUGACUGAUGUUAAGCAAGUCAUUAAACCUUUCCAAGCUUCA